CUACUUACCCGGCAGGGGAGAUAUCAUGAUCAUGAAGGUGGUUUUCCCAGGGCAAGACUUACACAUUGCACUCCGGAUGUGCUGACCCCUGGGAUUUCCCCAAAUGUGGGAAACUCGACCGCAUAAUUUGUGGUAGUGAGGGACUGUGUUUUGUGCUUUCCACUG
rfam:Callithrix jacchus chromosome 4, whole genome shotgun sequence